rnacentral:lncRNA from 1 species
CCCGUCCGGUAUAAGCGCCAAACCAUAGACCUCAUUACCCCGUCCGGUAUGAGGGUGAAACGGGCCGUCCCCAUACCCCGUCCGGUAUGGGCGCCAAACCAUAGACCUCAUUACCCCGUCCGGUAUGAGGGUGAAACGGGCCGUCCCCAUACCCCGUCCGGUAUGAGCGCCAAACCAUAGACCUCAUUACCCUGUCCGGUAUGAGGGUGAAACGGGCCGUCCCCAUACCCCGUUCGGUAUGGGAGCCAAAACAAAUAAGAUCUCCAUACCCCGUCCGGUAUGGGAGACCACAAUCCCGGUAGGGUUCCCUACGGACCCGGUCCGUCCACCAUCUCCCAGGAAUCUAGUCAGGCUGACCACAGUAUACAAUUUCCAUUUACAUAAUCUUUCAUUCUCCUUUUCCCUCAGUCAGCAUUAUUAAUCACAUACAAACAAGCAAAAUGAUAAUUUAUGCCAAACAGACAACAUACAGCAUCAAUAUCCCGGUCAUUCAAUCCAUAAUCAAUAAAACAGUAGAAUAUGCACACGAAACUAUAAAAUGAAAACAUCGAACCUCAUGCUGCAUUUAAAACUGUAAAGCAGGUCAAAUAACAGUUAACCGACAAACACACUAGACU